rnacentral:sRNA from 1 species
UUGUUUUUUCGAAUCCUCUGAUUCUCUUUGGUGUUCUGUUCUCUGUUUCGUGGAAAGAGUUCCUGAUUUUCGUUUUUAAGGGAUUUUCUUUGUGAAUUGGUUUCCAGGGUUUCCAAAGUUGUGAUCGAGGCAAGAAUUCGCAGUGUUUGCCAUUUUAUCCGUCUAGGAUUUCCGGGUUGUGGUCGGAUUUUUGGCCGAUUUCCAGCCCAGUUUGGGGGCGGCAUGUUCUAGAUCGCUGUGGAACAGCUCUUAUUCAGCUAUAUAAGUUGUGGUGCUCUCUUGGGGUUUCUUUACGCGUUGGUCAUCUGGAAGGGAAAGAAGCUGGAAAAUCUGGGCAACUGGGGAGUCUCUCUCAUUCCACUCUUUCUAAUUCCACUUUCUCUAUAAAAAAAAUCCCAAAAAUGGCUCUCGAAGACUGGAACUGGAAGUAUGAGUUUCCUACAACCAAAUGGGAAUCAAUCUGAAAGAACUGCGUCUAUUCGCCGUCUUCAAGGAUUGGAUGCUUUUGAGCAAAGCUUUCAAGGAUGCAGGUUAGCUUAAGAGCAUCCGAUCAUUCCUUAAGGAUGCAGAUGAGAAGGCGGUAGCAGAAGCAGAGCCCAUUUUGGUCACGGCCUGUCAUCAGAUCACUGUGGAACAGAUGUUAUUCAGCUAAGUUGUGGUUGGGCCUUUCCCGGCUAAAUGACAUUUUGCAUUUUGGUUGCUCGUUUAAUAAAUCUGAGAUUUGCUAACACCUGUAAUGCUGCUAUUAUAUUUCGGCAUGCGAUGCUCUUUGCUUUCUGCAGCUUCAAUGUACAGCCUUUAAAACCAUUUCUACUUUAGGUAAACAGAUCGAUCAACUCCUCUGUUUCUUCUAUAGGUACAUCUGUACAACAACCAAUGGUAUGUUAAUAUUUAGAAUUUAUUACAUUUUUUUCAUUAAUGUUUUACGCUUAAAUUCAAUCUUUACUAAACUUUCUCUUUAGGGGAAUUGGCUAUUACCAAUAUAUAUAUACAGACUAUCUUUUUUUCAUCUGGUCUAAAUGCAUGUCCAAUUACCUGACUACGCAUUGAUAAGUUAAGUUAGACAUCCAAAAGCAUUACUUUAAACACUCUUACCAAAAAUGGACCCAUUCCACAUGCCUCAAUUAAGUCAAAUUACCUAUUAGCAAUAGGGCGGUUGUUAGAUCUAUCUAUGCAACAUCUCAUUAUUCGUUAGAUGGAUUAAACAAUUUCCUUUCUCCAGUCUUCUUUGAUUCAAUUAAACAAUGUGGAAAGAGUAUAUAUUUGGUUAGAACAUCUAAAUUUAUACUUUUGGAUAUCCAUCUUAAACCCCUUGGUCAUCAGCCAAGUAAUUAAUCAUGCAUUCAAAGCAGCCCAAAGGAAGAAAGCCUUUGUCUAUAAAUUGGUAACAGUCCAUUCAUUUGAAGAGAAAAUAUGGAAGUGAUGAUUAUUUAUCCAAAUGAUCAAAGCUGAAAUAACUGAGCAAAUAGUAUCUCUGUGUUACAUAGAGACGCCUAAUCAGCUCUAUCUGAUCCAUCUUUGAACAUCCUUUCUCCCAUUUUUACAUUAGAAUCAGUACAAAACUGGCUUAGAUAUCUUUUUACACCAUAUUCUCAUGUUUUUUAUGCAUUUGUAAUACUGGUUUUCAAUUUUCUCCAGUUCACCUCAUCAAAUUUGCCUACAACUUUCCCAUUUUUUACUCAUUCAAAGAUAGCUUGCUGCAAAUUUGACAAUCAUUUUAGUCGGUAUAAAACAUAAAUUUACUUUUUAACCUGCUUUUCCAAUCUUUGGACAUCAUCUCCUUUUUAGUAUAUAUUUUUCCUUUUGUUCUUUCUGUCUGUUCCCAUCUGCUAGAACAACAUCAAACUCAAGUUUUGUUAUCCUCAACAAAUUUUCAGCAUGGAUUCCUAUCAUCUAAACUCUUACCUCAACAAGUGUACAGCUCUAUAUGCUUUUUAAUUCUUCAUGUCCAAAUGGCAUAUAUACAUGCUUAUUAAGAAUCAAAUGAUACAACUUUACAUUUGCAAUUAUAUAUUGUUUCUAAUAGCUUAUAUAAUUUUUUGUUUGUUUUCCUGUAACAUCGUAUUGUAACAUGAUCUAAUGAUAUUCAAUAUAAUUGGACAAACUGUUAUAGACCAGUUAAUGCCAAUUUAAACACUCCUAAUAAGUUACAGCUACAUUUAUUAUCUCGAAUUUCAACAUCAAAUGUAUAUUUUUUUACUUCAAACAUUUCGUAAAUUAUUAAUAAUCGUUUUGAAGUAUUAUAUACUUACUCAUAAAAGCAGUUAUCCUCUUAUGCAUAAUUCUCCACCACAAAUUUAUAUCAAUAUUAAAACACUUGUAACCUUAAUUUAUAGUUACUGCAGUAUAAUCUAUGUGCACAUCAUUUUCUUCUUCAGUUUCUGCUGUUUUUUGUUCUCUGAGUUAUACAUGUUACCGGUGUUCACAACUAAAAUCGAUUACACAGACUUGACUACAGGUGUGCCGCAAAUUACAUCACUUUCUGCCAACACUCUGCUUCUUUUUCUUAUUAUAUUUUUCUGUGUUUAAAUAGCAUGAACAUACUAAAAACCUGUUAAUUAGAAACUAUCCAUUACAAGUUUGCACUGGCCGUUUUCUUCUUUUAUAUCCAGUAGUUUUAAGACCCACAGCAACGCGCGGGCACUAUUGCUAGUCAUCAUAUAUACUAAAACUCAGUUUCCCCCGGCACUGUUCACCAACAGUGAAAGGGCGAAACUGCUCUCGGAUUCUUGUUUGCUUGCGGUGCUCUUUGCUAUUUUGUGCAGUGAAAAGUCCGUUUUGGCCCUCAUGGCGUGUCUGUCAUCGUUCAGUUUAUGCAUUGAAUAGGUUUUCGUUGGUUUACCAUUUGCUUUGCCUUUUGUGUGUCGGCAAUCUCUGCUUCUCUCCAUCUUGGUCUCGCCUUCCUUUCGUCUGUAAUCCUGUGUUUUUCGUUUUGCAAAAUAUUCAUCGCAAAGAUCGUCGUGUUCCUUUUUUUUGGGGGAGUUUGUUUGGGUUCUCUGUUUUGAGACAAGUUCUGCAUCUUUGUAAAUCGUUUCUCCCUAAUUGUCAUCGGCUUUCCGACCAAUUUUUGGUGCGGUCUGGGUGCCAUCUUUUUUCAGAUCAUCGUAAAAAAAAAAUUAUUUAACUCAGUUUGUUGAGGCUUUGUCGGCUAAGAGUGGAUUUUGUGUUUGGUUUACUCCGCUGAUAAAUCUGAGAUUUAACAGGAGUUCGAAGGCUACUGUUGGUUUGGUUAUGUAUUCCCUGCUUUCAUUCCUUCCUAAUUGUAUAUGGAUUUCCUAUUUAAAUGAAGCAGGUGUCAAUCGUUCUGCAUGAUCAUUCAUCAAAGGCAGCAAGUCUAACUGCUCAAGUGUAGUGAGAAACUGCAAGCCUUCAGGUAACGUCUUCAGCCCACAAGCAACAGUGCAAGUGGAGGAUAUUCAUAGAAUCUGAGUAUUCUAGUUGGUGAAGACAGAAUUCUCAAAGAGAUGAAGACAGAGUUCUCAAAGAGAUGGAGACAGAAUUCUAGUUGGAGUAUUCAGGUAACGCCUCCAUUUGGUGAAGACAGAAUUCUCGAAGAGGAUUGGGGACCUGGGGACCUGCAAUUUAGUUCCUGUGUAAGGGCGGUCAUCAUAUACUUGCAGCAAGCCCUGGUUGAUCAAUUCAUUUAUAUUUUCUUCUGCUAGUUCCUCCAUAAUCUGCCCUGCUUUCUCUUGAACCAGUCCUUCAGCCACUAGUAACCGAAUAAGUUUCCCUUUGGAAAUCCAGUGGUUCUCGGGGAAGAUGGAACAAUAUAUCAAGCAGUGGUAAAGAGAAUCAGUUUGAUCCUUGUUUGCAUUUCCUUCAAGCCUGUCGUAGUGUUGUGGUCUUGUAGUCCAUUUCUUAGAAAGCUUCAGGAUGUGACUUCGUGGUGGAAAUAGAGGCUUAUAGUUUGUGAUGGUUGAGCUUUGUAUCGAAGCAGCCUGCAGCGGAAGAGAUGAUGAAGAAGCUGAUGUCUCAACUUCUUAGUUCUCUUCGAAGUUUUUGUUUUCUUGUCUCUCCUUCGAUGGUAUUUGAACUUAGCCAUAUGGUGUUCUACAAAUGUGUUGAUAGCUUAUGCAGCUUGAUGCGACUCUGAGAUGGUAGCAGAUGCAAAUUUGUGAUGGUUAAGCUUUGUAAAAUCACAUUUAAUAUAAAAUUUCAAUACAAUAAAAAUAAAACAUGAUUUUAAUUGAUAUGGGAUGAGGAUGGAGAUGAAUGAUAAUGAUGGUAUGUACUACCAAA